UUUUUAAUUAAUUGGCUGGCAUUGAGUUUGAACCACCCAGAGUGGUUAUUUUUUAAAGAAAAUACACUUUUAAGACACAGUUUACACCUUGAAAGAACAGAGGAUGUUGUAGAACCAGAUUUGAAGUGUUCUGCUGCGAGGUCUGGAUGCUUCCCGGGUAUGUAUGCCAUGCUAGGGGUUAAUCCAGGUUCUGUAUUUUCAAAACACUGUAUUCCAAAAGUAUUAGAUUUUGUAAUUAGACUGCAAAGAACCUAAAUAAGCACAACCACAGGGGACUCACUCAUAUGCCUAACUCAUUUAAUACUAAGGUAAGUGACUUCUGGAGGCACUCAAAAUUUGUCGCUGUGUAUUUAGCUCUUUUAAUACCAAAGGCAGCACACUUCUGGAGUGGGGAUGUCCAUGCAGGUGGUUUCAGGUCUGCUGCCUUCCUGGAGGGAGGCAGACAGGGAGUUUUAAGUUCUCCCUGCUGCCUUCUCUGCAAAGAGAAGUUAAAAUGAUAUGUGGAAAAGCAGCACCUUCUCUCCAGUUCCACUGCUGCAGAGGUCAUGCAUGGUAUAAAGACCUAGAUCUCAUGAUAAACAGAGGUGUCUUACCUAGAAUAUGUGUUCAGUAUUAUGGAUACUGUGUACUGUAGAGAGGGAGCAGAAAGUGAGCAUGAAGAUAUAGAAAAUAAGUCAUAAAUGCCUGAAUAUACGAUGUUAUAAUUUCCCCUCUGUUAGAGAAAUAGUGGAGAUAGAUGGUUGUUGGCUGCUAUUUCCAGUUAAAUGACUUUCUGGCUAGCAACAAAUAGAGCUGCCUCUGAGACAGAUUUUUACAGCUCUGUAACUCUUUCUUCCAGUGCUUACUCCCGAUCCGGAGCCUCUUUGCCUUUGAUGAUGCUCAGAACAGUCCUUUUUUUUUUUUCCCUAAGGCAUGCAUUAGAAAUAAAGGUAUCUUCUGCUACUCUUCAGGUGCAACGUGGCAGUCAGUAGCAACAGAGUUCAUAAAAGUGUUCAAAGAUGCUAUUAAAAUUUUCUUAAUCAGAUAGCUUUUUCGAUUAAAAACGGAUGCUUCUAUGCAGAAAUGCAGGACAUGCCGUGGGAUUGCCAAACACCUGGAAAAAUGGCAUCUGAAAAAUAAGGAAAAAACAAGCUUUCCAGAUGCCAAACCUUUAAUAGUUCAAUUCGACAUAUGUCUGAUUGUUUAUGUUGUAUCUUGUUAUAUAUUGUAUUUGAUUUUAUAUUCACACAGCUUGAUUGCACUGGACUGUAAAGACACAGCAAAGAAAGAACACUAGAACCUGGCAAGAAAGAAGACUUCCUAUCUUUCUCACCAGUGUAGCCCAUGCCACCCAUAGGGUACAUCUAUUGCAAAUGGUGGUGUAGAGGAACUUCCAUUAGUCCCUGAUGCUCCAGCAGAGCUUGUGAACCUGCUGCAAUGCAUAUUUCUCACAGUGUUCUGGAAACUGAAGUUUCUCUGUAUUUUCUUGUUUUUCUUGCUAAUAGAUUAAUUUUCUCCUACCAUGAUUUAUUUUAUGAGCAACCAAACUAAUAAAGCUGGUUUAUAUAUAC